rnacentral:rRNA from 1 species
UUUUUAAAUUGCUGUAGUAUUUUGACUAUACAAAGGUAUUGUAAUAAGACUUUAAUUGAGUGCUAAAAGAAUGGAAUUACAAAAAAAGGCUUUUUUAAUUUUAAAAAUUAAAAUUAUUUUUUUUUGUGAAGAAACAAAAAUUUAAAUUAAAGACAAGAAGACCCUAAGAAUUUUUUUUUUUAUUAAAAUAAUAUUUUAUUUUAAAAAUUUAAUUGGGGCGAUUAAUUAAUAUUAAAAACUUUAUUAACAAAAAAAAAUGAUCCAUUAUUAAUGAUUAUUUGAUUAAAAUACUCUAGGGAUAACAGCGUAAUAAUUUUUGAUAGUUCUUAUAGAAAAAAUAGUUUGCGACCUCGAUGUUGGAUUAGGAUUCUUUUUU